UUGCCCAUCCAAAAGCCCUCAAGACAUUUGUUCACCGUGAGCAUGGCCUUCACACGGAACACAAACACCUCCGUGGUACGCUUCAUCAUGGACACCUGGUUAGUCAGCGCUAUGUCGUUGAUGAUCUGAAAAGAAAUUAUCCAAGGGGGUCAAGGGGGGAGCUCAUCAGGGACGGACUCAAGGAAACGGAUCUACAGAGGGUGAUCACUGCAGUGUCGCAUGCACAGAAUAGUCACUGUGCGUGAUCUGUGGCAGGGAAACGACGGCCAAGGUCAAGGGGUCGGGAAAAUGAGGUCGGAACCAGGGAAUGGCGCUUACUUUCUCCGUGCGCUUAAAGAACAUGAUCGAAGGCUCUCCGUCGCAAUCGACCCAUAAACAGUUCUCGAGUUUCCACGUGGAGCUCCUAAGUGCUGGAACAGACGGCCAGAACGGGCCGACGGAUGUUGCCGGGGCUGUUGUCAACAAAACAUUGGUUGAAUUUGCUUUCGGUCUUGGUUUAGACGCCAGUAAAUUGUUUAAGAAUAACGAUUCCUACGCAUUCUUUAAGUAACUUAAAGAUGAUUCUCUAAUAGAGACUGUGCUAACGUGAACUAAUGUUAUGGAUAUUCAGUUGUUGAAUAUAACAUUUCUAAGCAAAUAGAUGAUGAUCAUUACGCAGGACUACAGUGUGUUCAAAUGAUGUCCCUGGGGUCAAAUUGACCCGCCAUAGGGGUUACUAUUUUAUUUCCUUUUAUGUAUUAAUUGAAAGUUUAAUCUGAAACCACAGUGCCCAGACGUUAGUUAUUUGGCAUUUUAUGUCUUAAAUUGGUCCUUUUUGCAAAUCAUGUCCCUGUGGUCAAAACUUGGGCGCCGUGGCGUAGUGGAUAUGGUGUCUGCCUAGCAACCGGUAGAUAGUGGAUUUGACACCCACUGUAAGAGGGUUCUUUAGAUCUCCUUUAAAGACAGCAAGUACUGGUUCUGGCCAGGAAACGGACUAGUGUUUUUAUAAGCCUUAGGCUUUCGAUAGAAUCAAGCUAAAAUAAAUAUGUCUAAAUUAAA